CAGCAGCCACGGGAAAACGGAGGGUGCAAGCGUUAAUCGGAAUUACUGGGCGUAAGGCGCACGCAGGCGGUUUGUUAAGUCAGAUGUGAAAUCCCCGGGCUCAACCUGGGAAUGGCAAUGGAUACUGGCAAGCUAGAGUGUGUCAGAGGAUGGUGGAAUUCCCGGUGUAGCGGUGAAAUGCGUAGAGAUCGGGAGGAACAUCAGUGGCGAAGGCGGCCAUCUGGGACAACACUGACGCUGAGGCACGAAAGCGUGGGGGGCAAACAGGAUUAGAUACCCCCGUAGUCCCUGUCUCUUAUAC
rnacentral:rRNA from 1 species